UACAGAGGUCUCAAGCGUUGUCCGGAAUUAUUGGGCGUAAAGGGUGCGUAGGUGGCGCCGUAAGUCGGGUGUGAAAUUUCGGAGCUUAACUCCGAAACUGCAUUCGAUACUGCGGUGCUUGAGGACUGGAGAGGAGACUGGAAUUCAUGGUGUAGCAGUGAAAUGCGUAGAGAUCGUAAGGAAGACCAGUGGCGAAGGCGGGUCUCUGGACAGUUCCUGACACUGAGGCACGAAGGCCAGGGGAGCGAACGGG
rnacentral:rRNA from 1 species